rnacentral:lncRNA from 1 species
UGGCAGAGCCCCACAGAAGCAGACAGCAUCCCUCCCAUCCCAGCAUUAACCUCACCCCAUCUCACCCUGCUCUCACUUCAGCUGUUUGAGCCAAGAAAAUCCCCGCUCCAGCCACUGCUGCACCUACCCACACCAGCUUCAAUGCCAUAAAAAUGUGCUCCAGGAAGUACUGCUGGGGAGAAGCUUCACUCAGCACUGAUGUCAAUCCAUAGGGAUCACAUUGCCCCAUUCCCAGCAGAUCACCCCAUGAGCCUGUCCGAGCUGCAGCGAGUUACCUCAAUGCAGUUGGGAAAGCUUGGGCACCACCCCAUAAAUGGGGGUCUGUCCUGGUGUGGCUGUUUAGGGGGUGGGUUCAGCACUGGUACUGCUGCAGCUGGGGCUAUGCAAGAGUCUUUAGUGCACGCUGGAAGGUUUUGUGGAGAAAGGAAAAUCUGAAUACGUUGUGGUUUCACCUUUCCACGGAAGAUGAGUAGAAGUGAUGUGUUCUGGAUGCUCUCAUAGGUGACACUGCCAGUUCAUUGAUCAUCGUCAUCAUCAACGUUAUCAUAGGGAUGGCUCUUCUUUAGCAAUUCAGCCAGUCCAAUCCACGAGGACUGCAUGAGAAAUGAAUGGCACAGGGCUGCGAGAUGCAUGUGACAGAACACUUAUCUGAGACCUGUGUUCCUGUGAAAAGCUAAGCUGCAUUACACAGGAGAGCAGCAGGAGGCCGCCUCGCUUUAAGUGAUACGGCUUAAAUACAAAAGUUGGAAAUAAGCACAUUCAAGAGCUGGUUUGGCAAAUCCGCUCUAACCUCACUCUACUCUAUGUUCAUGUAUAGAUUUUUUUUUGAUCCUACAUUUUGACCUUGGCUGCAAUGUUUUCUGCAUAAAUACCGUGUAAAGACAUGCAUAUACAUAAAGGAAAGCAAAGCGCUGCAGCUAGGUGUUGCUCUGCUUUAGCUUGCACUAUGGUGUUUAUCAACUGCUAUUUCCACUUUUUAAUUUAUUUUCUUAGGAAAAAAAUUAUUAGUCAGGACUCCAACACAGAUAAAGAAGACAGUGCCCGACCUAAGGAAGCCUUGCAUAUCACCAUAGUUACCUGACGAAUUGAUCGUGUGCUCACUAAGACUUCCAGCUGUUGAUGAGGGAGUGACACUGUGCAGUGAAGCACCUUGAGUUCUUAAUAUGUGCUUACAAACUAUUCAUGCUCAAAAUAAAACAUACGAAGAACGAUAAAAAAGAGACUUU